UACGUAGGGUGCGAGCGUUGUCCGGAAUUAUUGGGCGUAAAGGGCUCGUAGGCGGUCUGUCACGUCGGGAGUGAAAACUCAGGGCUUAACCCUGAGCCUGCUUCCGAUACGGGCAGACUAGAGGUAUGCAGGGGAGAACGGAAUUCCUGGUGUAGCGGUGAAAUGCGCAGAUAUCAGGAAGAACACCUAUGGCGAAGGCAGCACUCUGGGACGGUACUGACGCUGAGACGCGAAAGCGUGGGGAGCGAACAGG
rnacentral:rRNA from 1 species